UACAGAGGGUGCAAGCGUUGUUCGGAAUUACUGGGCGUAAAGCGCGUGUAGGCGGGAUGGCAAGUCAGAUGUGAAAUACCGGGGCUUAACCCUGGUGCUGCAUCUGAAACUGCUGUUCUUGAGUGCCGGAGAGGAAAGCGGAAUUCCCAGUGUAGCGGUGAAAUGCGUAGAUAUUGGGAGGAACACCGGUGGCGAAGGCGGCUUUCUGGCCUAAGACUGACGCUGAGGUGCGAAAGCGUGGGGAGCAAACAGG
rnacentral:rRNA from 1 species